rnacentral:lncRNA from 1 species
CUUAACCUAAGGUGUUAAUUGUUUUGUAGGUGCGAAAUUGUCCAAGAUCAAGGAAGAAGAAAUUUGCAUCCACAAAUUGGUGCUUUCAUUGAGAGUUGAAAUCCAUACUCGUAGAAGACUCUCGCACAAAAAGGUUUUUUCUUUAUUUUCUAGUCCAUUUGAAUAUUUUUCAUACGUUCUUAUUAUUAGAAUUUUUUACUUGCAAAGGUUCUUUGAUAAAAUGUAUAAGCAAAAUAUAAUGGCUAGAAAUUUAGAAAAUUCCACAAGUGAAAAUUCUAAUGUUCAAGAAAUGGGAUUGUGGAGAUCCGUGAGGCUAAAUGCGACAAUAAGUGGAGCAGCACCACCACCACGAGUUUCCACCACGGAACUGAAGGAUUAUUUUGUGAAAACAUGUUCAUUUAAGCAACAUCAAUAAGCAUGCAAUUAACAAUUAAAGGCGGAAUCAUGCUUGCAUGCACUUAAAAACAAAACAUAAACCAUGAAAUUCAA